rnacentral:lncRNA from 1 species
AUCUAUAUAAAGUGGAUAUUCAUAGAGUUUUCUCAACCAAGAAGUCGAAUUUUCAUCAACGAUUAUUUCCAGGUAUCUCUGCAUAUAAAGAGUUUGGGCAUCUAGGCGGCAGCAUGGCAAAGAUGAAGACGAUGACAACGCAAACAUAUACUUUUGUGUGUGUGAUAAAAUCAAUUUAAGGAAGUACCAAAUGUAUUAUAUAGCUUUUGAUUAAUUAGAUUCAUAGCUUUUCUUACAUAUUUCUUAUUCAUUUUUUUCAUUAGUUUAUAUUUGGUUAUUAAAGAUUUCGUUUUCAGAAAAUUGCAGUUUUUUGUGAUGCAUAUAGUGAAUAAUUUGCAGUGUGUUGUUUUCAAAAUCAAGAUAUGUAAACGAUGAUUGUUCUGAUAAAAGAUGUAAAACUGAAUAUUAUGGUGGAUAUUGGCUUUGUUUGUAGGAACAACCAACAAAACGAGAUGAGUUUGUUGGUUGGUUUGGAGCUCUUGCUUCUCUGGAGAAAGUCUCACUGGGCUCAAAGAAACACGGUGCCACUUUCUAUAUGCUUAAGGAAAACUUCUCCAGACAUUUCUUCAAAGAAUGACCUAUUUUAUCUUCAGGAUGAAAUGCAAAUUCAAUUUAGAGGAAUGGAGAGAGCGCUCAUAAGAAGAGCAAAGGAAAAUAGAAACAUUUAAUGAUCAUUUGUAAAUAUAAGUGUGAUUUUAACUUUUCAAUGUAAUACAACAUUUAAUGAUGAUUUGUAAAUAUAAGUGUGAGUUUUGAAUGUAAUAUUAAUUGUUAUUGUUUUUGUUUGUAUAUAUCCAUUACUUUCC